rnacentral:rRNA from 1 species
AUUGAACGCUGGCGGCAUGCCUUACACAUGCAAGUCGAACGGCAGCACGGGUGCUUGCACCUGGUGGCGAGUGGCGAACGGGUGAGUAAUACAUCGGAACAUGUCCUGUAGUGGGGGAUAGCCCGGCGAAAGCCGGAUUAAUACCGCAUACGAUCUACGGAUGAAAGCGGGGGACCUUCGGGCCUCGCGCUAUAGGGUUGGCCGAUGGCUGAUUAGCUAGUUGGUGGGGUAAAGGCCUACCAAGGCGACGAUCAGUAGCUGGUCUGAGAGGACGACCAGCCACACUGGGACUGAGACACGGCCCAGACUCCUACGGGAGGAAGCAGUGGGGAAUUUUGGACAAUGGGCGAAAGCCUGAUCCAGCAAUGCCGCGUGUGUGAAGAAGGCCUUCGGGUUGUAAAGCACUUUUGUCCGGAAAGAAAUCCUUGGCCCUAAUACGGUCGGGGGAUGACGGUACCGGAAGAAUAAGCACCGGCUAACUACGUG